rnacentral:rRNA from 1 species
GGUGGAGUGAUUUGUCUGGUUUAUUCCGAUAACGAACGAGACUCUAACCUAUUAAAUAGUGACUGGAUAGCCAAAGUCCAGCGUACUUCUUAGAGGUAUAAGUGGUGUUCAACCACAUGAAAUUGAGCAAUAACAGGUCUGUGAUGCCCUUAGAUGUUCGGGGCUGCACGCGCGCUACACUGAAAGGAUCAGCAUGUUGAUUCCUUGGUCGAAAGGCCUUGGUAAUCCUUUGAAAACCUUUCGUGAUAGGGCUCGGGGAUUGCAAUUAUUUCCCUUAAACGAGGAAUUCCCAGUAAGUAUGAGUCAUCAGCUCAUGUUGAAUACGUCCCUGCCCUUUGUAC